AUGAACCGACUAGACACCGCUCCAUCUGUGCCGUUCGCCUCAGGAGUCGGUCAGUCUCUGAACGCCGCCGCGCGAGAGAGAGGCAUGGCGGCCGCACUGCUGCCGGAGACGGCGUCACGGCUGCUGACUCCGGAGACCCUCCGAACGGCGGCCAAGCAAUCUCAGGGGAUCCACCGUGUGCCUAUCUCCCUCCGCCGCGCCAUCAAGCGCUACCUCCGCGACCAGGACAAGACGCACAUGCACCGAAAGGUGCUGCUGCUUUCGUCCUCCUUCGAGCGCGCAAAGGGCACCGGUGCCGAGCUGGCUGCGGCGUCAACCCGUAGCGCACUCCUCGACGACCCCCAUGCGCCUGCGAGUGCCGAGCAGCGGACUGCACGGUGGAAGGUUCAGUCCUCCUACGGAGAUAUCGGCCUUCGGUACCGUGAGGAUGAGACGGUCGCGUAUGUCGCCUCCCGCAUGCCGGCAAUCUACGCCGCAUGCCACCGCGUGCUCCGUGAGGUUCGUCGUCUGUCUCCAGGUUUUGCACCUAAGAACGUGUUGGACUUUGGAGCGGGGCCAAGCUCAGCACUUUGGGCAAUGAGGGCAGUGUGGCCGAAGUCCAUAGAGAGGGUUAAUUUGAUUGAGCCCUCCAAAGAAAUGCAGAGAGCGGGACAGACCCUUCUUGAUAAUUUGAAGGGGUUGCCACUUAUCCACAGCUAUGAUAGCAUCCAAGAGUUGAACCGCAGCAUCGAGAAACAUGAGCGACGUCACGACCUUGUAAUAUCAUCUUACGCACUUGGGGAGAUUCCUUCAUUGAAUGACCGUAUAACAAUUGUGAGGCAACUUUGGGACCUAACAAAAGAUGUUUUGGUUUUGUUAGAGCCUGGAACUCCUCAAGGGUCAAAGAUUAUAAGCCAAAUGCGCUCAUAUAUCCUUUGGAUGGAAAAGAGAAAGUGCCGCAAGAGCGAAAAAUCUACAGGUGCUGCUCCAAGUAAAAUGAAGAGCAUGGUUGUUCAAGAAGAUUUGCUGAAAGAUGGUGCCUUCGUGGUUGCCCCGUGUCCUCAUGAUGGUCGCUGUCCAUUGGAGAAUUCAGAUAAAUACUGCCACUUUGUUCAGAGAUUGGAGAGGACAUCAUCACAGCGUAUCUACAAGAGGUCAAAAGGUGUGCCUUUGCGUGGUUUUGAGGAUGAGAAAUUCUGCUAUGUUGCUUUAAGAAGGGGCAAGCGACCAGAGGAAGCUUGGCCACUUGAUGGAAUGAAAUUUGAUACUCUUAAAGAACGUCAUGCGAAGAGAAACCCAGAAGAUCUUAUCAUUGACUAUGACGAUCAAUUUCCAAGUGAGGAAGAUGAAGAAGCUCCUGAUGGCGAUGAGGACAGUUUGGUCCCAUAUGCUUCUGAUACACAAGAACUAAGUCUAUUCCAUGAGAGUGGAGAGGAGGAGGAAGAGGAACCCAUCCGUGCUGAUCUUGGAGGAGGCUGGGGCCGGAUUAUAUACAGUCCCAUUCGAAGAGGAAGACAAGUGCAGAUGGAUGUUUGCCGUGCCACCAAACGGGAUGCGUCUGAAGGCGCGUUCGAGCGUGUCGUGGUCACACAAAGCAAGAACCCUGCUUUGCAUCUUCAGGCCCGGAAGUCGCUUUGGGGUGACCUUUGGCCAUUUUAG
rnacentral:rRNA from 1 species